GACGAACGCUGGCGGCGUGCUUAACACAUGCAAGUCGAACGGAAAGGCCCUGCUUUUGUGGGGUGCUCGAGUGGCGAACGCGUGCGUAACACGUGAGUAACCUGCCCUUGACUUUGGGAUAACUUCAGGAAACUGGGGUUAAUACCGGAUAGGAGCUCCUGCUGCAUGGUGGGGGUUGGAAAGUUUCGGCGGUUGGGGAUGGACUCGCGGCUUAUCAGCUUGUUGGUGGGGUAGGGGCUUACCAAGGCUUUGACGGGUAGCCGGCCUGAGAGGGUGACCGGCGACAUGGGGACUGAGAUACGCAGCAGUCGCCAACGGGAGGCAGCAGGGGGAAAUAUUACACAAUGGGCGGAAGUCUGAUGCAGAAACGCCGCGGGCGGGAUGACGGCCUGCGGGUAGAGAACAGCUUUCGCCUGUGACCAAGCGUGAGUGACGGUAAUGGGUAAAGAAGCACCGGCUAACUACGUG
rnacentral:rRNA from 1 species